UCUCGUGACUGCGUGCCUUUUGAAGAAUGAGCCUGCGAGUUUGCGGUGUGUUGCGAGGUUAACCCGAGUGGGGAAGCCGUAGCGAAAGCGAGUCCGAAUAGGGCGUUUUUAGUAGCACGCUCAAGACCCGAAGCGGAGUGAUCUAGCCAUGGGCAGGUUGAAGCGGAGGUAAGACUUCGUGGAGGACCGAACCCACCAGGGUUGAAAACCUGGGGGAUGACCUGUGGUUAGGGGUGAAAGGCCAAUCAAACUCCGUGAUAGCUGGUUCUCCCCGAAAUGCAUUUAGGUGCAGCGUCGUGUGUUUCUUGCCGGAGGUAGAGCACUGGAUAGGCGAUGGGCCCUACCGGGUUACUGACCUUAGCCAAACUCCGAAUGCCGGUAAGUGAGAGCGCGGCAGUGAGACUGUGGGGGAUAAGCUCCAUGGUCGAGAGGGAAACAGCCCAGAGCAUCGACUAAGGCCCCUAAGCGUACGCUAAGUGGGAAAGGAUGUGGAGUCGCACAGACAACCAGGAGGUUGGCUUAGAAGCAGCCACCCUUGAAAGAGUGCGUAAUAGCUCACUGGUCUAGUGAUUCCGCGCCGACAAUGUAGCGGGGCUCAAGCGUACCGCCGAAGUCGUGUCAUUGCAGCAAUAAGCCCCAACGGGUGCUGUGAUGGGUAGGGGAGCGUCGUCUGCCGGGUGAAGCGGCACUGGAAGGUAGUCGUGGACGGUUGACGAGUGAGAAUGCAGGCAUGAGUAGCGAUACAAACGUGAGAAACGUUUGCGCCGAUUGACUAAGGGUUCCUGGGUCAAGCUGAUCUGCCCAGGGUAAGUCGGGACCUAAGGCGAGGCCGACAGGCGUAGUCGAUGGAUAACCGGUUGAUAUUCCGGUACCCGCUGUGAAGCGUCAAACAUCGAGCAUCGUGAUGCUAAGGCCGUGAAGCCGUUCCGGACCCUUCGGGGAAAGGAAAGUGGUGGAGCCGCCGAACCAAGCGGUUAGUAGGUGAGUGAUGGGGUGACGCAGGAAGGUAGUCCAUCCCGGGCGGUGGUUGUCCCGGGGUAAGGGUGUAGGACG
rnacentral:ncRNA from 1 species